UAUCUCUCGUCUUGGCGCUUCCACUGGUGAAUGUGGUUGUGUAUGUUACGAGAGGAAAAGUAGUGUCUUUUAGACUUUCGGAUCUCCUUCGGUGUUUGCCUUGAAUUUCGGCAAAUGUCAUCCUCUGGGUUCGAGACAAUU
rnacentral:snoRNA from 14 species